GAUGAACGCUAGCGGCAGGCCUAAUACAUGCAAGUCGGACGGGAUUCAGGAGCUUGCUUCUGAUGAGAGUGGCGCACGGGUGCGUAACACGUAUGUAACCUACCUUUAUCAGGGGGAUAGCCUCUCGAAAGAGAGAUUAAGCCCGCAUAAAAUCACAGCACAGCAUUGUGUAAUGAUCAAAUAUUUAUAGGAUAAAGAUGGGCAUGCGGAACAUUGGCUAGAUGGCGGGGUAACGGCCCACCAUGGCGACGAUGUUUAGGGGAUCUGAGAGGAUGGCCCCCCACACUGGUACUGAGACACGGACCAGACUCCUACGGGAGGCAGCAGUAAGGAAUAUUGGUCAAUGGGCGGAAGCCUGAACCAGCCAUGCCGCGUGCAGGAAGACGGCCCUACGGGUUGUAAACUGCUUUUAUACGGGAAUAAACCCAGAUACGUGUAUCUGGCUGAAUGUACUGUAAGAAUAAGGAUCGGCUAACUCCGUG
rnacentral:rRNA from 1 species